GACGAACGCUGGCGGCGUGCUUAACACAUGCAAGUCGAACGGAAAGGCCCUGCUUUUGUGGGGUGCUCGAGUGGCGAACGGGUGAGUAACACGUGAGUAACCUGCCCUUGACUUUGGGAUAACUUCAGGAAACUGGGGCGAAUACCGGGUAUGAGCUCCUGCUGCAUGGGGGGGGUUGGAAAGUUUCGGCGGUUGGGGAUGGAUUCGCGGCUUAUGCGCUUGUUGGGGGGGUAGUGGCGUUCAAAGGCUUUGACGGGUAGCCGGCCUGGGAGGGUGACCGGGCACAUUGGGACUGAGAUACGGCCCAGACUCGUACGGGAGGCAGCAGUGGGGAAUAUUGCGCAAUGGGCGGAAGCCUGAUGCAGCGACGCCGCGUGCGGGAUGACGGCCUUCGGGGUGUAAACAGCUUUCGCCUGUGACGAAGCGUGAGUGACGGUAAUGGGUAAAGAAGCACCGGCUAACUACGUG
rnacentral:rRNA from 1 species